rnacentral:rRNA from 1 species
AGCUCCAAUAGCGUAUACUAAUGUUGUUGCAGUUAAAAAGCUCGUAGUCGGAUUUCAGUAUUAGGUCCACCUACAAUGUUGUAGAGUGGCUCUUUACUUCUUUAACAGAAUCUUUCAUCGCAUUAAUUUACGGUGUUUGGGGCCUGUUUCUUUUACUUUGAGAAAAUUAGAGUGUUCAAAGCGGGUUUUCGCCUGGAUAUUACUCUUGGAAUAAUAAUAUA